CAGGUUUAACUUCUGAAGCUGCUGUCUGAGCUGAAGGUGAACUUAAACCUGGUCUAACAUCACCAUAAACGCAGACAGCAGCUUCAGAAGAUAAACCUGGUUUAACUUCUGAAGCUGCUGUCUGCGUUUAUGGUGACGUUAGACCAGGUUUAACUUCAUCUUCAGCUCAGACAGCAGCUUCAGAACUUUGAAAA